AGGGGCUACUUUGACGGAGCAUCCAGUCAUCCAGCAAGCCCAUCCAAAAGAAGCCAAGCAACCCACUGAGGUGGUACCGACAGGGGAGCCGCUCUUGGUCACCAGCAGACGGAGAGACCCUGCCGUGCCAAGCAGCCCAGCUCCAUCACAGAGCUGUCACUGCUACAGACGCCUAGACCAGUGCCCAUACAGGAUUGUGCCCAACGAGGUCAAGUACCAGCUGCACAACCUGGAUUCCCGCACCCUCUUCCACUGCAACUGCACCCGCAGGCUGGCCCGCUUCCUGCGCAAGACGAAGGGUCCCAACGAAGUGGAGGAGGAGGUGCUCUCCGACUAUGUCUCCUCCUCCUGUUUCCUGUUC